AUGCACGUGCCUAUUCCUCAAGGAGGUGGUUCCAGAAGCCGGAAGCAGACUGGAUCGGAAAGGAGUUGGGCUUCCACUUGGUAGAGGAAAUCACAAGGUGGUGAAGGAAUGGGUGGGCAUUUUGGAUAAAGGUGAGGUAAAAUAAUUCAUGCACUGAGAGACUGCUAGGGAAGUUAAGGACAGCCCUCAGGGACGUAAGAUGUUGAUCUUCCAAGCCACUCCAUAACCUUAAAAACGGCUUAGAAAGAAGAGGAAGGGAGUCGGUCAUUCAGGUCUUGCAAUACUUCAGUAAAGGCUCUUGAUUUAGGGUCUAAAUCUCUGGGCAUCUUUUUUUCCAAGUUAUAUUCGAGGAAUUGCAAAAAAGGGACGGAGAUCAUGUGUAUGGCUUCUCAAGUUCACCUGUUGUCAACAAUUUGCGUAUUUGUUGUUGUUUUUGUUCCAUCUCCUCGCCUCCCUCCACUUUUCUCUUUCUCCUACUAUUCUCUAAGAUCAAGGAUAUCUAUCCUCUUACUUUUUGUUUUGUUUUGUUUUUUGUUUUUGUUUGUUUGUUUGUUUUCGAGACAGGGUUUCUCUGUGUAGCCCUAGCUGUCCUGGAACUCACUCUAUAGACCAGGCUGGCCUCGAAUUCAGAAAUCCGCCUGCCUCUGGCUCCCAAGUGCUGGGAUUAAAGCGUCCGCCACCACGCCCGGCUACUAUCCUUUUACUUAAGUAAAUAUUAUCCAUGUCUGCAUUCCAAUUUUGCCAAUUAAGCAAAUAGUGACUUUUAUAGCAUUCCUCUCCAUGACACAAAUCUAAAAUGAAGUAGUUUAUUUUUUUGGGCUUGUUGCUCCCGAAAUACAAACUCUCCUGAGAAUAUCUGUAAAGAACAUGAAAACCCCUGGCACUGUGGCGCAAUGGAUAGUGCAUUGGACUUCUAAGAAAGACCUGCUCCUUAUUCUUAGCUUAACUUUUAUUUAAAAGAUAAAAUGCAAUUUUAAAUUUGCAAUCGGUAUUUAUUUCUUAUUAAAAUAUAAGAAGCCAGAUAUACAUUUAAAAGAAAGG
rnacentral:lncRNA from 1 species